rnacentral:misc_RNA from 1 species
AAGUCGUAACAAGGUCUCCGUAGGUGAACCUGCGGAGGGAUCAUUACCGGCGAUAUGCAUAAAGAGAGACUGCGUUCGCGUAGUCUCCAACCUGGAGGCCAAACCGACAGGUUGCAUGCCCAACCCGUGUUUAUACGUACCAUUUUGUUGCCUCGGCGGCUUCGGCCGUCGUAGGACCCCUUCUCAAACGCUUUUUGUAGUCAAUGUUGCAGUCUGAGCGAAACACGCAAUUGAAUUAAAACUUUCAACAACGGAUCUCUUGGUUCUG